GACAGAGGGGGCAAGCGUUGCUCGGAAUUACUGGGCGUAAAGGGCGCGUAGGCGGGAUGGCAAGUCGGUCGUGAAAUCCUUCGGCUCAACCGAAGAACGUCGAUCGAUACUGCUGUUCUUGGAGGUUGCAGAGGAGACUGGAAUUCCCGGUGUAGCGGUGAAAUGUGUAGAGAUCGGGAGGAACACCGGUGGCGAAGGCGGGUCUCUGGGCAAUUCCUGACGCUGAGGCGCGAAAGCGUGGGGAGCAAACGGG
rnacentral:rRNA from 1 species